rnacentral:misc_RNA from 1 species
UGGUUCUGGCAUCGAUGAAGAACGCAGCGAAAUGCGAUAAGUAAUGCGAAUUGCAGAAUUUCCGUGAGUCAUCGAAUCUUUGAACGCACAUUGCGCCCACUGGUAUUCCGGUGGGCAUGCCUGUUCGAGCGUCAUUAUCCUCUCUCCAACCCCCCGGGUUGGGUGUUGGGCCGCGUUGUGGCAACGCAACUGGUCUCAAAGACAAUGACGGCGUCCGUGGGACCCUCUUCGCAACGAGUCUUUCGAGGCACGCGGGGAGUUGCAAGGUCCCGUCGGGUCGGUCUAACCUUUUAUUUUUCUCAGGUUGACCUCGGAUCAGGCAGGAAUACCCGCUGA